GAUGAACGCUGACAGAAUGCUUAACACAUGCAAGUCUUUGGCGAAUCUGUGCUUGCACAGGCUAGCCAAGGCGGACGGGUGAGUAACGCGUAAAGAACUUGCCCUGCAGACAGGGAUAACAGACGGAAACGACUGAUAACACCUGAUACAGUUGCCGGCACGCAUGUGCCUGGCAAUGAAAAGAGAUGCUGCAGGAGAGCUUUGCGCCCUAUUAGCUUGUUGGUGAGGUGACGGCUCACCAAGGCGAUGAUAGGUAGCCGGCCUGAGAGGGUGAACGGCCACAAGGGGACUGAGAUACGGCCCUUACUCCUACGGGAGGCAGCAGUGGGGAAUAUUGGACAAUGGGGGCAACCCUGAUCCAGCAAUUCUGUGUGCACGAAGAAGGUUUUCGGAUUGUAAAGUGCUUUCAGCAGGGAAGAAGAAAGUGACGGUACCUGCAGAAGAAGCGACGGCUAAAUACGUG
rnacentral:rRNA from 1 species